rnacentral:rRNA from 1 species
AUUGAACGCUGGCGGCAGGCCUAACACAUGCAAGUCGAGCGGAUGAGGGAAGCUUGCUUCCCGAUUUAGCGGCGGACGGGUGAGUAAUGCCUAGGAAUCUGCCUAUUAGUGGGGGAUAACGUUCCGAAAGGAACGCUAAUACCGCAUACGUCCUACGGGAGAAAGUGGGGGAUCUUCGGACCUCACGCUAAUAGAUGAGCCUAGGUCGGAUUAGCUAGUUGGUGAGGUAACGGCUCACCAAGGCGACGAUCCGUAGCUGGUCUGAGAGGAUGAUCAGCCAAACUGGAACUGAGAACCGGUCCAGACUCCUACGGGAGGCAGCAGUGGGGAAUAUUGGACAAUGGGCGAAAGCCUGAUCCAGCCAUGCCGCGUGUGUGAAGAAGGUCUUCGGAUUGUAAAGCACUUUAAGUUGGGAGGAAGGGUUGUAAGCUAAUAUCUUGCAGCUUUGACGUUACCAACAGAAUAAGCACCGGCUAACUCUGUGCCAGCAGCCGCCGUAAGAC